rnacentral:rRNA from 1 species
ACGCCUAACACAUGCAAGUCGAGCGGGAGUUUUUUAGAAGCUUGCUUCUGAAAAACAAGAGCGGCAAACGGGUGAGUAACACGUUGGUACUUGCCCCUUGGUCAGGGAUAGCCCAUCGAAAGAUGGAUUAAUACCGGAUAGUCUCUUCGGAGUAAAGAUUUAUCGCCAAGGGAGAGGCCUGCAUUCUAUCAGCUAGUUGGUGAGGUAAUGGCUUACCAAGGCUAUGACGGAUAGCUGGUCUGAGAGGAUGAUCAGUCACAAUGGAACUGAGACACGGUCCAUACUCCUACGGGAGGCAGCAGUGAGGAAUAUUCCACAAUGGGCGAAAGCCUGAUGGAGCGAUACCGCGUGAAGGACGAAGGUCUAACGAUUGUAAACUUCUUCUCUGAGGGAGCAUAAUGAUAGUACCUCAGGAAUAAGGGACGGCUAAUUACGUGCCAGCAGCCGCGGUAAUACGUAAGUCCCAAGCGUUGCCCGGAAUUACUGGGUGUAAAGGGUUAGUAGGCGGUUUAGUAAGUUGGAUAUGAAAGACCGGAGCUCAACUCCGUGUUUGUAUUCAAAACUGCUAAACUAGAAUCAGGGAGAGGUAAGCGGAAUUCUAAGUGUAGGGGGUGCAAUCCGUAGAUACUUAGAAGACACCAAAAGCGAAAGGCAGCUUACUGGAACUGUAUUGACGCUGAGUAACGAAAGCGUGG